AUGCAUUUACUCACACUCUUUCCAGGAAUUUAUCCUAAGAUGACAAUAAAACAGUUGGACCAAGACGGCGUACAAAGGUGCUUAUCAACGUUUCAUGAAGCCAAACACUCAGUGGGAUUCAGUAGGUGGCGUAGAAGAGCUUCCCCAGUCCACCCACAAACACCAAACCAGCGAAAUAAAAUGUUUGAGGAAGUAUUGGAUUUUUCUACAAACUGCCAACAGGACAGAGGAACAAGCCAACUUGACUACGGAAACUGUCCUAGGGUGCAGCUAUUGAAGUGGAAUUACAGGUUUUGAAAAUGUUUCCCAGGCUACACCCAAUUGGAUCCAAAGAGUUUGAUGAAGGGGGCAUACAUGGCCCUCUUUGAUGUUUGAAGAGGUCAGGAUCACCAAGGCAUCACUGGGCAUCUCUGUGAAAGGGUAAGUCCAAGAAAUUCCCCCAACUAGAUAAAUUUGCAUGUCUUACUUGGGGAACUUUUACAACCCACGAUUGUUUCUGGGACAUGAAUUAUUUGGGUCCCUCAGCUCUCCUUGAGAGAUCUGAGGGGACAUGUGAAGAGGAAUUUAACUUUUUGCUGAUACUAAUGGCCUGCUUAUAUAAUGUGGUUCUAGGAGGUUUUGAAUAAGUUCCUUAAAAUAUCUGCAUAGCCAUGUAGCCCCCCCCCCACUGAGGGGGUCUCUGGUGGUGAGAGGGUUCACUGUCUAGGGUUCAUAUCAACAUGACCCCCUGGUCUCAUAUGCUAUGGGAAUGCUGAUAAUAAAAUAGUGUCUGAAUAAUGGUGGGCUUGUAUA
rnacentral:lncRNA from 1 species